rnacentral:rRNA from 1 species
UACGAAGGGGGCUAGCGUUGCUCGGAAUCACUGGGCGUAAAGCGCACGUAGGCGGAUUGUUAAGUCAGGGGUGAAAUCCUGGAGCUCAACUCCAGAACUGCCUUUGAUACUGAGAGCUUGAGUCCGGGAGAGGUGAGUGGAACUGCGAGUGUAGAGGUGAAAUUCGUAGAUAUUCGCAAGAACACCAGUGGCGAAGGCGGCUCACUGGCCCGGUACUGACGCUGAGGUGCGAAAGCGUGGGGAGCAAACAGG